UACGUAGGGGGCAAGCGUUGUCCGGAAUUAUUGGGCGUAAAGAGCGCGUAGGCGGUCCGAUAAGUCGGCUGUGAAAGUCAGGGGCUCAACCCUUGGAAGCCGGCCGAUACUGUCGGACUAGAGUCCGGAAGAGGCGAGUGGAAUUCCCGGUGUAGCGGUGAAAUGCGUAGAGAUCGGGAGGAACAUCAGUUGCGAAGGCGGCUCUCUGGACCAACACUGACACUGAGGCACGAAAGCGUGGGGAGCAAACAGG
rnacentral:rRNA from 1 species